UUUGUUGGUGGUGUAUAAGUGAAACCCUAAUGUUUUGAUGUUUAUAAUGAAAUGUGUAUUCAAAAUUUAGUAACUCAGCAACAGAAGUUAUUGAAGAAAGCUGUCUAGAUAUCUACUUUAUUUAAAAAUAAAAUAUUCUUGUAUUAUUCCAUAUUUUGUUGUUACAUUUAACGUAAUAUAUUUAUUACAAAGUAAAAAGUGGGGUAUUGUCAUUAUUAACACGAUAAAACACUUUAAUAUAAGUAUUUCCAUGUAAAUCACUUUUUAAAACAAAUUUUGACCUAUCGUUUGAGACUAUAUAAAUCCAAAAUAAAGUAAAUCUUACAGUUCCAAAAUGAAGUCACUUAGAACAUUGUGUAUAUUAAUAUAUGUUCUUAACUAUUUGAUAACAGCAAAUUCACAAGAAGACAUCGUUUGUGAUCCAUGGACUUGUGCAGCAACUAGUUGCACUCCAGUGGGAGAUUGUUCUGGACCAAAUCAGGAAAUAAGAAAAAUUGGAUUAUGUAAAUGUUGUGAAGGAUGUUUUACACUUUUAGAUGUGGGAGAUAUAUGUACAAUAUCAAAAUAUUCUACAAGGAUUUGUAGAAAAGGGUUAAUAUGUUUAAAUGGAAGAUGUAGACGAACCACUUACUAAAAAAAUAAACUAAUAUUUUCUGAGCAUAUA